rnacentral:lncRNA from 1 species
CUGUGAUGCUGCUGGCUCUGGUCAUCUACACCAUCAUGNUCCUGAUGAACGCGGCAGCUGGUUCGGGAGCAGUCAAAGGUCUAUUUCGUACAACCGUUGGAAACAUCUCACGCCACCAUGACUCUGACCUCACGCCAGCAACCUGGACCUUCAUCAUCUGGAGCAUCAUCUAUUUGUGGCAGUAUAGCUGGCUGGGUUAUGCACUGUCAGGAAUCUGCAGGAGGAAUGAACAAGGCUGGGUAUACACACAACCAGAUUUGCUACCAGUGUCAUUUUACUUGAUAUGGAU